UACGUAGGUGACAAGCGUUGUCCGGAUUUACUGGGCGUAAAGAGCGCGCAGGCGGUCGUUCAAGUCGAGUGUGAAAGCCCCCGGCUCAACUGGGGAGGGUCACUCGAUACUGAUCGACUUGAAGGCAGGAGAGGGAAGCGGAAUUCCCGGUGUAGUGGUGAAAUGCGUAGAUAUCAAGAGGAACACCUGAGGUGAAGACGGGUUGCUGGGCUGACACUGACGCUGAGGCGCGAAAGCCAGGGGAGCAAACGGG
rnacentral:rRNA from 1 species